GACGAACGCUGGCGGCGUGCUUAACACAUGCAAGUCGAACGGAGUGGCGAACGGGUGAGUAACCGGGGGGUGAUUGCCCUUGCACUUGGGGAUAGGCUUGGGAAACUGGGUCUAAUACCGGAUGGUCAAAGAUGAGCGCGCGGCCUAUCAGCUGGUGGGGGGGGUAUUGGCCUACAAAGGCGUCGACGGGUAGCCGGCCUGAGAGGGUGUACGGCCACAUUGGGACUGAGAUACGGCCCAGACUCCUACGGGAGGCAGCAGUGGGGAAUAUUGCACAAUGGGCGGAAGCCUGAUGCAGCGACGCCGCGUGGGGGAUGAAGGCCUUCGGGUUGUAAACUCCUUUCGACAGGGACGCGGUACCUGUAUAAGAAGCACCGGCUAACUACGUGCCAGCAGCCGCGGUAAUUC
rnacentral:rRNA from 1 species